rnacentral:rRNA from 1 species
CCUACGGGAGGCAGCAGUGAGGAAUAUUGGUCAAUGGGCGCGAGCCUGAACCAGCCAAGUCGCGUGAGGGAGGACGGCCCUACGGGUUGUAAACCUCUUUUGCCGGGGAGCAACGGGCGUCAAGUGUGGCGCCACUGAGAGUACCCGGAGAAAAAGCAUCGGCUAACUCAGUGCCAGCAGCCGCGGUAAUACGGGGGAUGCGAGCGUUAUCCGGAUAUACUGGGGGUAAAGGGCUCGUAGGCGGGGACGCAAGUCAGAUGUGAAAACCACGGGCUCAACCUGUGGCCUGCAUUUGAAACUGUGUUUCUUGAGUACUGGAGAGGCAGACGGAAUUCCUAGUGUAGCGGUGAAAUGCGUAGAUAUUAGGAGGAACACCAGUGGCGAAGGCGGUCUGCUGGACAGCAACUGACGCUGAGGCGCGAAAGCGUGGGGAGCAAACAGGAUUAGAUACCCCUGUAGUC